GAUGAACGCUGGCGGCGUGCCUAAUACAUGCAAGUCGAGCGAACGGACGAGAAGCUUGCUUCUCUGAUGUUAGCGGCGGACGGGUGAGUAACACGUGGAUAACCUACCUAUAAGACUGGGAUAACUUCGGGAAACCGGAGCUAAUACCGGAUGAUAUUUUGAACCGCAUGGUUCAAAAGUGAAAGACGGUCUUGCUGUCACUUAUAGAUGGAUCCGCGCUGCAUUAGCUAGUUGGUAAGGUAACGGCUUACCAAGGCAACGAUGCAUAGCCGACCUGAGAGGGUGAUCGGCCACACUGGAACUGAGACACGGUCCAGACUCCUACGGGAGGCAGCAGUAGGGAAUCUUGCGCAAUGGGCGAAAGCCUGACGGAGCAACGCCGCGUGAGUGAUGAAGGUCUUCGGAUCGUAAAACUCUGCUAUUAGGGAAGAACAUAUGUGUAAGUAACUGUGCACAUCUUGACGGUACCUAAUCAGAAAGCCACGGCUAACUACGUG
rnacentral:rRNA from 1 species